CAGUCGCCACGGUAAUACGUAGGUCCCGAGCGUUGUCCGGAUUUAUUGGGCGUAAAGGGAGCGCAGGCGGUUUAGUAAGUCUGAAGUUAAAGGCAUUGGCUCAACCAAUGUAUGCUUUGGAAACUGUUAGACUUGAGUGCAGAAGGGGAGAGUGGAAUUCCAUGUGUAGCGGUGAAAUGCGUAGAUAUAUGGAGGAACACCGGUGGCGAGAGCGGCUCUCUGGUCUGUCACUGACGCUGAGGCUCGAAAGCGUGGGUAGCGAACAGGAUUAGAUACCCGAGUAGUCCCUGUCUCUUAUACC
rnacentral:rRNA from 1 species